rnacentral:rRNA from 1 species
UAAGGAAUAUUGGACAAUGGGGGCAACUCUGAUCCAGCCAUGCCGCGUGAAGGAAUAAGGCCCUAUGGGUUGUAAACUUCUUUUAGACGGGACAAAACCCCUUUACGUGUAAAGGGUUGAUGGUACUGUCAGAAUAAGCAUCGGCUAACUUCGUGCCAGCAGCCGCGGUAAUACGAAGGAUGCAAGCGUUAUCCGGAAUUAUUGGGUUUAAAGGGUGCGUAGGCGGACUAAUAAGUCAGUGGUGAAAGCCUGCAGCUUAACUGCAGAAUUGCCAUUGAUACUGUUAGUCUUUAGUACAGUUGAGGUAGGGGGAAUGUGUCAUGUAGCGGUGAAAUGCUUAGAUAUGACACAGAACACCGAUUGCGAAGGCAGCUUGCUAAGCUGUAACUGACGCUGGGGCACGAAAGCGUGGG